UUUAUAAUCCUCUGGGUAUAUACCCAGGAAUGGGAUGGCUGGGUCAAAUGGUAUUUCUAGUUCUAGAUCCUUGAGGAGUCACCACACUGUCUUCCACCAUGGUUGAACUAGUUUACAGUCCCACCAACAGUGUAAAAGUGUUCCUGUUUCUCCACAUGCUCUCCAGCACCUGUUGUUUCCUGACUUUUUAAUGAUCACCAUUCUAACUGGUAUGAGAUGGUAUCUCAUUGUGGUU
rnacentral:lncRNA from 10 species